ACACCCUCAAGCACAGCUUGGUGUUGGGCGUCUGUCCCGCUCCCGUAGCGCGGACUCGCCUCAAAGUCAUUGGCGGCGGUCGUGCCGGCUCCUCGCGCAGCACAUUUGCGCUUCUCGGAGGCCCGGCGGAUCAGCAUCCAGCAAGCUACUCCAUG
rnacentral:misc_RNA from 1 species